UACGUAGGGUGUGAGCGUUAAUCGGAAUUACUGGGCGUAAAGCGUGCGCAGGCGGUUUUGUAAGCCAGAUGUGAAAUCCCCGGGCUUAACCUGGGAAUGGCAUUUGGGACUGCAAGGCUGGAGUGUGGCAGAGGAGACUGGAAUUCCUGGUGUAGCAGUGAAAUGCGUAGAUAUCAGGAGGAAUACCGAUGGCGAAGGCAGGUCUCUGGGCUGACACUGACGCUCAUGCACGAAAGCGUGGGGAGCAAACAGG
rnacentral:rRNA from 1 species